UACGUAGGGGCUAGCGUUGUCCGGAUUUAUUGGGCGUAAAGAGCGUGUAGGCGGCCAGGUAGGUCCGUUGUGAAAACUCGAGGCUCAACCUCGAGACGUCGGCGGAAACCCUCUGGCUAGAGUCCGGAAGAGGAGAGUGGAAUUCCUGGUGUAGCGGUGAAAUGCGCAGAUAUCAGGAGGAACACCAAUGGCGAAGGCAGCUCGCUGGGACGUGACUGACGCUGAGACGCGAAAGCGUGGGGAGCGAACAGG
rnacentral:rRNA from 1 species